rnacentral:rRNA from 1 species
AUUGAACGCUGGCGGCAGGCUUAACACAUGCAAGUCGAGCGGUAGCACAAGAGAGCUUGCUCUCUGGGUGACGAGCGGCAGACGGGUGAGUAAUGUCUGGGAAACUGCCUGAUGGAGGGGGAUAACUACUGGAAACGGUAGCUAAUACCGCAUAACGUCGCAAGACCAAAGAGGGGGACCUUCGGGCCUCUUGCCAUCAGAUGUGCCCAGAUGGGAUUAGCUAGUAGGUGGGGUAAUGGCUCACCUAGGCGACGAUCCCUAGCUGGUCUGAGAGGAUGACCAGCCACACUGGAACUGAGACACGGUCCAGACUCCUACGGGAGGCAGCAGUGGGGAAUAUUGCACAAUGGGCGCAAGCCUGAUGCAGCCAUGCCGCGUGUGUGAAGAAGGCCUUCGGGUUGUAAAGCACUUUCAGCGAGGAGGAAGGUGGUGAACUUAAUACGUUCAUCAAUUGACGUUACUCGCAGAAGAAGCACCGGCUAACUCCGUG